rnacentral:rRNA from 1 species
UACGAAGGGGGCUAGCGUUGUUCGGAAUUACUGGGCGUAAAGCGUGCGCAGGCGGCGCGUUAAGUCAGGUGUGAAAGCCCCGAGCUUAACUUGGGAAUUGCGCUUGUGACUGGCGUGCUGGAGUGUGGCAGAGGGAGGUGGAAUUCCACGUGUAGCAGUGAAAUGCGUAGAGAUGUGGAGGAACACCGAUGGCGAAGGCAGCCCCCUGGGCUGAGAUUGACGCUCAGGCACGAAAGCGUGGGGAGCAAACAGG